UGGGGAAUCUUGGUCAAUGGGCGCAAGCCUGAACCAGCGAUGCCGCGUGAGUGAUGAAGGCCUUCGGGUUGUAAAGCUCUGUGGGGAGGGACGAAAGAGCCAUUUCUAACAGGAGUGGUGUUGACGGUACCUCCUUAGCAAGCACCGGCUAACUCUGUGCCAGCAGCCGCGGUAAGACAGAGGGUGCAAACGUUGCUCGGAAUCACUGGGCGUAAAGGGCGUGUAGGCGGGAAGGUAAGUCGGGCGUGAAAUCCCUGGGCUCAACCCAGGAACUGCACUCGAAACUACUUUUCUUGAGUGCCGGAGAGGAAAGCGGAAUUCCUGGUGUAGAGGUGAAAUUCGUAGAUAUCAGGAGGAACACCAGUGGCGAAGGCGGCUUUCUGGACGGUAACUGACGCUGAGACGCGAAAGCGUGGGGAGCAAACAG
rnacentral:rRNA from 1 species